rnacentral:rRNA from 1 species
AUACGAGGGGUGCAAGUGUUGUUCGGAAUUACUGGGCGUAAAGGGAGCGUAGGCGGAAAGUCAAGUCAGAGGUGAAAGCCCUAGGCUCAACCUAGGAACUGCCUUUGAUACUAACAGUCUAGAGGCCGAGAGAGGAUGGCGGAAUUCCCAGUGUAGAGGUGAAAUUCGUAGAUAUUGGGAAGAACACCAGUGGCGAAGGCGGCCAUCUGGAUCGGUUCUGACGCUGAGGCGCGAAAGCGUGGGGAGCAAACAGAAUUAGAUACCCCGGUAGUCC